UCCUCGAUCUGCUGCGGGCAGAUGAAAUGGAUGUGGCUGUCGAAGCCGCCGGCGGUGACGAUCUUGCCCUCGGCGGCGAUCGCCUCGGUGCCGGGGCCGACGAUGAUGGUGACGCCCGGCUGGGUGUCGGGAUUGCCGGCCUUGCCGAUGCCGCAGAUGCGCCCGUCCUUGAGGCCGAUAUCGGCCUUGUAGAUCCCGGUAUGGUCGAGGAUCAGCGCGUUGGUGAUGACCGUGUCGACGGCGCCCUCUGCCCGCGUGUGCUGCGACUGGCCCAUGCCGUCGCGGA
rnacentral:sRNA from 1 species